ensembl:misc_RNA 7SK 7SK RNA
GGAUGUGAGGGCAAGAUGACUACAGCAUGUCACCCCUUGAUCGCCAGGGUUGAUUCGGCUGAUAUGGCUGACUAGGCGGGUGUACCCUUCCUCCCUCACAGCUCCAUGUACAUCCCUCCCGAAGCUGCACGCUCAAAGAAGAUGAUCUUCCCCGAAUAGAGGUGGAUCGGUCGUUCGGUCAAGGUUAUACGAGUAGCUGCGCUCCCCUGCUAGAACCUCCAAACAAGCUCUCAAGAAAAAGUAGGGGUGGAGGGAAGGUGGGGAGAGGAAACAGCAAUA